UACGGAGGGUGCAAGCGUUAUCCGGAUUCACUGGGUUUAAAGGGUGCGUAGGCGGGCAGGUAAGUCAGUGGUGAAAUCCCCGAGCUUAACUUGGGAACUGCCGUUGAUACUAUCUGUCUUGAAUGUUGUGGAGGUGAGCGGAAUAUGUCAUGUAGCGGUGAAAUGCUUAGAUAUGACAUAGAACACCAAUUGCGAAGGCAGCUCGCUACACAAUUAUUGACGCUGAGGCACGAAAGCGUGGGGAUCAAACAGG
rnacentral:rRNA from 1 species